rnacentral:lncRNA from 1 species
AGAUUCUAAUACUAGUAGCCUCGAGAAAUAGAGCUGGUUUUGCUACUGUUUAUAAAACUUGAAUGGUAUGCCCGAUAUUCUAGGCGAUCUGAUUUUCUGUUUAUAUUCAUUCACAAACUCUAUAAUUUCUUCUUCAUAUAUUGAUAACUUAGUUCAGCAUACUCAUCAGAUGUUACUGGAUACAACUCUUCAUAAUAUUUUUAGCGGAUAUGCUCUUUCCAUCAAUUCUCCACUUAGAACAAGAUGAACAGGUAUUCUUGUCUUCAAGAAGAGAAACGAUAAGUUUUCAUUACAAAAUCUGAAUUGUUGUGGGGUUUCUAAAAUGGACAAGGAUUGGCGAAUGGAUAUAUAGAAAGGUAGGACUUUAAAAUCAGUUAUAUGUUUUGUAGUAUAUGACUUAGGAAUAAUCUAGUCCAACCUUCCGCCUAUUUCUAUACAUGUAUAUUUUUUCUUUCACUAUGUUAUAAUUAGACUGUUUCUGUCUUAAAAAAUACAAAUUUGGUCAUUGUUUUCU